rnacentral:rRNA from 1 species
UACGUAGGGUGCGAGCGUUAAUCGGAAUUACUGGGCGUAAAGCGUGCGCAGGCGGUUUGUUAAGUCUGAUGUGAAAGCCCCGGGCUCAACCUGGGAACUGCAUUGGAAACUGGCAAGCUCGAGUAUGGCAGAGGGGGGUGGAAUUCCGCGUGUAGCAGUGAAAUGCGUAGAGAUGCGGAGGAACACCGAUGGCGAAGGCAGCCCCCUGGGCCAAUACUGACGCUCAGGCACGAAAGCGUGGGGAGCAAACGGG